GAAAACCAUUCUAGAAUGGCCUAUGCUUAAUUCUCUGAAUUUUCUCUCACUGGGAGAAAUAUCAAGUUAGGGGUGUGGAGUGUUAUUAGGAAGAAAUAAUCAUUAUGGGCUAAAAGUUAAGUGAUUAGAAAUCAUAUAUAUUUGCUUUUAAAAUUUCUAUUUCAAGGGCUUCUUAUGCAAAUUAUGAGCCUUUCUAGACAGUAUUUCUGGUCUCCUGGUUUGAGUGUGAAAUUAUAGCCAUCACCUGACAUGCAUUAAUUCUGGAUUCCUUUUGUGUGGGGUCAGCAAUACCAGGACAUGCCGAUGCCAGAGGAAAAGAGCAACCCCAAGGGCGUGGAGUGGCUGUGGCACUCCAUCGUGAUAAGGAUGUAUCUGUCCUUGAUCGCCAAGAGUGUCCGCAACUACACACAGGAAGCAUCCUUAGGAGCUCUGCAGAACCUCACGGCCGGAAGUGGACCAAUGCCGACAUCAGUGGCUCAGACAGUUGUCCAGAAGGAAAGUGGCCUGCAGCACACCCGAAAGAUGCUGCAUGUUGGUGACCCAAGUGUGAAAAAGACAGCCAUCUC
rnacentral:sRNA from 1 species